AGGCAGCAGUGGGGAAUCUUAGACAAUGGGCGCAAGCCUGAUCUAGCCAUGCCGCGUGUGUGAUGAAGGCCUUAGGGUCGUAAAGCACUUUCGCCAGAGAUGAUAAUGACAGUAUCUGGUAAAGAAACCCCGGCUAACUCCGUGCCAGCAGCCGCGGUAAUACGGAGGGGGUUAGCGUUGUUCGGAAUUACUGGGCGUAAAGCGUACGUAGGCGGAUCAGAAAGUAUGGGGUGAAAUCCCAGGGCUCAACCCUGGAACUGCCUCAUAAACUCCUGGUCUUGAGUUCGAGAGAGGUGAGUGGAAUUCCAAGUGUAGAGGUGAAAUUCGUAGAUAUUUGGAGGAACACCAGUGGCGAAGGCGGCUCACUGGCUCGAUACUGACGCUGAGGUACGAAAGUGUGGGGAGCAAACAGGAUUAGAUACCCUGGUAGUCCACACCGUAAACGAUGAAUGCCAGUCGUCGGGCAGUAUACUGUUCGGUGACACACCUAACGGAUUAAGCAUUCCGCCUGGGGAGUACGGUCGCAAGAUUAAAACUCAAAUGAAUUGACGG
rnacentral:rRNA from 1 species